CUCAAGAAUCAUGUCAUGCUCAUAAUUCAGAUUCAAUCAAAUCCAAUCAUAAACACCACUUUGAUAUUGUUUCUAAUAAUUUAGGAUUUCAUUAUAAAAGACUAGUUGGAAAUUAUUUAGAUUUGAUUUUGUAUAAAUAUCCAAUAUUUGCCUAGUGCAUGAUUGAUGUAGAACUAAAUAUAUGGUCGCAUGAAUGUUAUGUAUAAAAGGCUCAUAUGCAUUGAGCAUUGAAUAAAAAUCAGGAAAAAAAAGAGAGGAUUUGUUGUAGGGGAC
rnacentral:lncRNA from 1 species